AAUCAACGCUGGCGGCGUGCCUCAGACAUGCAAGUCGAACGAUUAAAGCUCUCUUCGGAGAGUGUAUAGAGUGGCGCACGGGUGAGUAACACGUAAGUAAUCUACCUUUGAGUGGGGAAUAACCCGGGGAAACCCGAGCUAAUACCGCAUAAUGCAGCGGCACCGCGAGGUGACAGUUGUUAAAGGAGCAAUCCGCUUAAAGAGGAGCUUGCGGCAGAUUAGCUAGNGGUAAGGUAAUGGCUUACCAAGGCUUCGAUCUGUAUCCGGCCUGAGAGGGCGGUCGGACACACUGACACUGAAUAACGGGUCAGACUCCUACGGGAGGCAGCAGUCGGGAAUUUUGGGCGAUGGGCGAAAGCCUGACCCAGCAACGCCGCGUGAAGGAUGAAGUAUUUCGGUAUGUAAACUUCGAAAGAAUGGGAAGAAUCAAUGACGGUACCAUUUAUAAGGUCCGGCUAACUACGUGCCAGCCGCCGCGGU
rnacentral:rRNA from 1 species